rnacentral:rRNA from 1 species
UACGGAGGGUGCGAGCGUUGUCCGGAAUCAUCGUGGGCGUAAAGGGCGCUAGGCGGCUUUGCAAGUCGGGUGUGAAAUCCCCAGGCUUAACCUGGGAACUGCAUUCGAGACUGCAUUGCUAGAGUAUGGGAGAGGGAAGUGGAAUUUCCGGUGUAGCGGUGAAAUGCGUAGAUAUCGGAAGGAACAUCAGUGGCGAAAGCGACUUCCUGGACCAAUACUGACGCUCAUGUGCGAAAGCGUGGGGAGCAAACAGG